CAGCACCUCCUCCAGAAGCUCCUGCAGGCGCUCCACUGACCGCUGCAGCUCUACGAGCGCCUGCUCCGUGUCAUCGUGAACCCUGACUGAAGAACGCUGCUCAGGCAGGGAAGGAGAAAACAAGCGCUUUCUGCAGAGGGAGACACAAAGACAAGACAUGACGUCCAAAACCAUUCCCAUCACGUGGACAAAACACAGGCACGAGGAAACAGCUGUGUGUGUGUAAGUGUGACACAGAAGGCAACAUGAGAAGGUGGAGCGUUAUGAAUGGACAGGAAUGUAGUUAGGAAUGUCCUCAGCCAGGCUGGAGCCUCUGUUACACACAAAGGGAGAGAGGAUGACACCUUAAACAGAAACCCAUUACACAGAACAAUGGACAGUCAGCAGUAGGGGUGAUGUGCUGUACACACACUGCGCUGAUGGUCACCUGUAGAAACAGCUGCCAUCUUUCCUGCCUUUUAAUGAGGUUUAUGGAAAUAAAUGAAACUGAAAACAUUUAAUUGCUCAAAAUUAGUCAAGUAUUGUUAUUGAUAGGCUGCUGGUGUCAUGUGUUCAGACAGAAAGCAAAGCAGAUUUUUGCCUCAAGCUGCUGAACUGUACAUUAGCCAAGUAGCUAACGAACUGACUGUAGAGUGUUUCUGUUUGUGUUCAGAACUUGUCUCUGUGUGUUUCUGAUGUAUAUCAAUAAGGCCCUGGGACAUGCUAAACAUUUUCAACUCUCAUGGAUGUGUCAGCUAGUCAACAUGUAUUUAUGUAAAACUCACUUGUAUGUCCAUGCA